UCAUCGCUCUACGCUCUCCAAACCAGCCGUGACGCACUUCCGGAAAGCCGCCGUUCCCGUUCAUACGUCAUUCUCAUUCCAUUUUCAUCGAUUUCACGCUCCGAAUUUCGUCUCCAUUUUCCUCAAAUUGAAUCGGGGCUGAUAGUGCAAAUUCCAGCAGAACCUAUGUCUCUUGACGACAAACUAUCCUCACCUCACAGGAGGUCACAGACGACUGUGUUUCCAGUCUCACCGUCGUAUAAAAAAUUAUAUUCCCGAGGCGAUGAAUCAGGGAGCUGCUUGGCAAUGCUUCAACGCCACCGGUUCCUUCUAACUUCUAUGGGCUUGCUAGCUAUUCUUUGCAUCAUCUAUCUCUACUUCGCCAUCACUCUUGGAGACAGCUCCUGCUCCGGGUUGACGGGCACUGAGAAAGCAACUUGUCUUUUGAAACGCGGAGCUUCUCUGACAAAAGGGAAAUUCGGGAAAUUGAAGUUUUGAAGUUCUAGCAUGGUGAUGGCUGUCUAAUCUUGUGGAUUCACUUACCGUUUUCUCUCCCCCCAUUUUUUUUGUUUUGUUUUUUCUUUUUUAAAAUUCUUUGAAAGGCUUACAGAGUUACAGCUCGAUGUAGUACUCCCAAAUCAUUUUGGGUUAUCUGAGGCUUGUUAAGUUUGGUAGUUUUGGUUGUACUUGUACAUGUUAGUGCAUGGAGCCAUGGACACUGUUUCUGACGCAUCUGUAUUUCGGUGCUAUUGAAGCAAAAUUUUCUUGACCAUGUUGA